rnacentral:rRNA from 1 species
AUUGAACGCUGGCGGCAUGCCUUACACAUGCAAGUCGAACGGUAACGGGCCUUCGGGUGCCGACGAGUGGCGAACGGGUGAGUAAUGUAUCGGAACGUACCUUUCAGUGGGGGAUAACGUAUCGAAAGUUACGCUAAUACCGCAUAUUCUGUGAGCAGGAAAGCAGGGGAUCGCAAGAACUUGCGCUGAUUGAGCGGCCGAAAUCAGAUUAGCUGGUUGGUGAGGUAAAGGCUCACCAAGGCGACGAUCUGUAGCGGGUCUGAGACGAUGAUCCGCCACACUGGAACUGAGACACGGUCCAGACUCCUACGGGGGGCAUGAGUGGGGGAUUUUGGACAAUGAGGCAACACUGAUCCAGCCAUGCCGAGUGAGUGAAGAAGGCCUUCGGGUUGUAAAGCUCUUUCGGCCGGGAAGAAGUCGUAUCAGCUAAUACCUGGUGCGGAUGACGGUACCGGCAUAAGAAGCACCGGCUAACUACGUGCCAGCAGCCGCAGUAAGAC